GGGAAUUUUGCGCAAUGCUCGUAAGAGUGACGCAGCGACGCCGCGUGAAUGACGAAGGCUUUCGGGUUGUAAACUUCUUUUGACAGGGAAGAGUAGAAGACGGUACCUGUCGAAUAAGCCACGGCUAACUACGUGCCAGCAGCCGCGGUAAUACGUAGGUGGCAAGCGUUGUCCGGAUUUACUGGGUGUAAAGGGCGUGUAGCCGGGUUGACAAGUCAGAUGUGAAAUCCUGCGGCUUAACCGCAGAACUGCAUUUGAAACUGUUGAUCUUGAGUACUGGAGAGGCAGACGGAAUUCCUAGUGUAGCGGUGAAAUGCGUAGAUAUUAGGAGGAACACCAGUGGCGAAGGCGGUCUGCUGGACAGCAACUGACGGUGAGGCGCGAAAGCGUGGGGAGCAAACA
rnacentral:rRNA from 1 species